rnacentral:rRNA from 1 species
UACGUAUGGUGCAAGCGUUAUCCGGAUUUACUGGGCGUAAAGGGAGCGUAGGUGGCAAGGCAAGCCAGAAGUGAAAACCCUGGGCUCAACCGAGGGCAUGCUUUUGGAACUGUUUAGCUGGAGUGCAGGAGGGGUAAGCGGAAUUCCUGGUGUAGAGGUGAAAUUCGUAGAUAUCAGGAGGAACACCGGAGGCGAAGGCGGCUUACUGGACUGCAACUGACACUGAGGCUCGAAGGCGUGGGGAG